UUCAAAUCUUGUGAUAGCUUGCAACAACCAGCCUUGUGUCUCCAAAAACUGCUGGCUGUCCCUGAUACAAAAGCCUGUAGAGGAACAAAACAAAGACCAUGAGGACAUCAGGAUUAAGCAAGGACCCUUGAUGCAAUCUGGAUGGUGGACAGCGUCUCAGCGUAGUUCCCUGCGGCAGCUGAAAUGUGAGCUAUCAUUGUGGUACGGCAGUUCAUGUUCCCCAAGGACUCCCGAAGCAACAUGCCUGCCUGCACCCUGAAAACACAGCGGGAGCAUUGGGAAGGGAAAGGGUGGAGUGUGGCUAGCCAGUGCCUAUGCCCACAGAGCAGCAAUAGGAGAAAACACACAAGCAAGAAGCAUGAGGAAACAUCCCCUGCCAAUCUGUUGGGGACAUAUUCUGGAAACCACUUUCACACCAGAGGCUGAAGACAGUAUUUCCAUAGCUCCUAGGUUUGCAACAGCUCCCAUCGCCACCACUCUGGUACCAGCUCUCUGCUCUUCAGAACAAGCUGUACUGGGAGCUGUACAAGGGAGGCAGAAAGGUUGCUAUUUCUGACAGUAUGACAUACGUUUUUCCACCAAUUUCAAAACGAGUGAAGCUUUAUUUCUGCCCAAGAGUAUAAACUAAUAAUUUAGUCACCCCCACUACCCCUCAAAAAUAACUCCUUGGAAAAUAAUUUUAAAUACAGCAGGUAGAGCAGUUUUGCUGAGGGGGGGAUGAGACAAAAUACAGCUAAAACAGUUAAACCUGCUGUCUAAAAUUAAGUUUAGUGAGUCUUGCCACAUAUUGCUAGAAAGCAUGUUACCUGAUGGCAUUCAUAAACAAACCAAAUUUGAGAGAUCAAAAUCACCUUCCAAGCUCGCUCUGCAUCAGGGGAGUAUGUGGAUUUUAAUAUUUCAGAAGACAGCUCUCACCAGCCUGCUUAUUUCUAAAAAGUCAAUGCAUAUUUUUAAAAAUUCACUUCACAUCUGUUCAUUGUGUACCAGCCUGGAGGCAACCACCAGCCAGAAAACUUUGAUCACCCAGCAGAAGCUAGCCGGUGGCUGAAAAUCACAAGAGGAUUGUCUCCAUUGCCUUCCUCUCAAAUGUGUUAUGAAAAUAAGAACUUCACUAAAAAAAGUUUGUAUGGAGAAAAACAUCUUGCAGUUGCAAUGCCAUCUGAAUGCUAUUAGA